GACUUGUUAUCAAAAUGCUGCUGUAUGACACCUCCAAUUGCCGUAUUAGAUGCAUCUACCAUUAAAGAUAUUUUUGCAUCUUUGUUAAAAUGAUUUAACAAAACCUUAGAUGAAAAUUUCUCCUUAAUACAUUCAAAAGCUUUAAUCGACUUGUCAUCCCAAACUAGAAUCUUGUCUCGUUUUUUACUUGUUCUAUUAAUCAAAUCACAAAUAACACCAGUAUACUCUGCUAAUUUUGAAAUAUAUCUAUGAUAGUAAUUAACCAUCCCUAUAAAUUUUUGUGCCUGCUUAAUUGACAUUGGUCGUUCAAAAUUUCUAAUAGUUUCUACCCUAUUUUCAGAAGGCUGUAUUCCUGUCUCAGAAAUGUUAUGUCCUAAAAAAUCAAUAUUCGUAACACCGAAAAUAAUAACUAAUUUGUUUGGUUUGAUAUUAAGACCGUACUCAGCUAAACGUUGAAAAAGCACAUGAAGAUCCUUAAUAUGCUGUUCUUCAUUUUCACUUGCAAUAAGAAGAUCAUCAAUAUACGCAAAGACAAAUUCGAAAUUGUUAACUACUUCAUUGAUGAAUUUUUGAAACGUUUGUGCCUAAUUUCUAAGUCCGAAAGGCAUUCAGGUGAACUCAAACAUGCCAAAAGGAGUAGUAAUCGCUGUUUUAUAAAUAUCUUCUUCUGCCAUGGGAAUUUGAUGGAGGCAAGGGUAACGAUCCGCUACAGUCACAAUGUUAAGUCUUCUAAAAUCACCGCAAGGACGCCAAUCAUUAACUUCCUUCUUUGGUACUAAAUGAAUUGGAGACGCUACCGAAGAACUUGAAGGUCUACAAAUUCCUGAUUUAAUUAAGAAAUCAAACUCACGUUUAGCAACUUGAUACUUUAUGGGAUCUAAGCGCCUUGGCUUAGAAAAUGGAAGGUUUCCUACUGUAUCAAGUCGAUGUACCGUUGAAUGCCUAACAGCAAAAAUUGAAGAAUUGAAUGGAAGAGGAACCGAACAAAAGAAGGAAAUCGCAUUAACCGAAAGAUUAGUAAGCGGAUCUACUAAUCGUUUGUGUCUAAUAUCAAUUAAAAGACCGAAUUUGCACAAAAAAUCUGCACCUAUAAUAGGUUUCGCAAUAUCAGCUAUUAAAAAUGUGAAUGAGAAUUCCCGCCUUAAUCCUAAAUUAACAUUUAAAAGCUUUUUUCCGAAGGUUGAAAUUAAGAACCGUUAGCUGCCGUUAAAACAAUAUCCGCAGAUUUUUUGUACAUCGAAAUUUAGAAACCGGAAGUACCACUAUCAAUUAAAAAAUUUAAAUUGUUCUGUUUAUCAAAAAUAAAGAGGCGACGUGUAGAAAACUCUAAAUAUCCGUUGUUUGUCGCCACAACAACAGAUGAUUUUAGUUUAAGGAAUCCUUAUUUUUUGAAAACGUACAAGGUUGUUCACAUUUCUUUGCAUUGUUACCGAAUUUGUAAUGAUACCUACAUAACCAAUUUGGAGUAUCAAAUGAUUCCGAACGCCCUCUAAAAGCACUUCUAAAACGGUUUCUAUUAGUCGAACGCGACCUAAAACUAUUUUGAUGAAUAUUCUUUUUAUUUUCACUUAACUCCAUAGAAAGUUUUUGAAAAUUUUCACACAUAAUUUCAUUUGUUCUGACUAAAUUCUCAAUAACCAAUUUUUCACAUUUUGAAUUCUGAAAAUUACUUACAGAAGCUAAUUCUAAUUUGUUAAUUUGUUUCCAA
rnacentral:lncRNA from 1 species